rnacentral:rRNA from 1 species
GUGCCAGCCGCCGCGGUAAGACGAACCGUGCGAACGUUGUUCGGAUUCACUGGGCUUAAAGGGCGCGUAGGCGGGCAUCAAAGUCAGGGGUGAAAUCUUUCGGCCCAACCGGAAAAGUGCCUCUGAUACUGGGUGCCUCGAGGGAGGUAGGGGCGUGUGGAACUUCCGGUGGAGCGGUGAAAUGCGUAGAUAUCGGAAGGAACGCCGGUGGCGAAAGCGACGCGCUGGACCUCUUCUGACGCUGAGGCGCGAAAGCUAGGGGAGCAAACGGGAUUAGAAACCCCCGUAGUCC